rnacentral:rRNA from 1 species
UUAGAGGAAGUAAAAGUCGUAACAAGGUUUCCGUAGGUGAACCUGCGGAAGGAUCAUUAGUGAAUUUAUAGCGCACCUGUUUAACCAGGGCGUGACCUCACUUUUUCAAACUCUGUGCACUUUUAAUGGGGGGGCCCAGGAAGGGUGAUUAGCUUCGUCUGGAAUGCGUGCCCGCCCGUUUUAUUAAACAUUUAAAGUCAAUCGUAUGGGCAUAAAGAAAUGAUAUAACAAAGAAAAACUUUCAACAACGGAUCUCUUGGCUCUCGCAUCGAUGAAGAACGCAGCGAAAUGUGAUAAGUAAUGUGAAUUGCAGAAUUCAGUGAAUCAUCGAAUCUUUGAACGCAUCUUGCGCUCGCUGGUAUUCCGGCGAGCAUGUCUGUUUGAGUGUCGUGAACUCUUCAACCCCCCCUUUUUCUUAUGGAGACUGGGGUGCGGCUUGGUUUCUGAACGCUUGCUGGACUGGAAUUCCUUUCGGGGGAUUCUAAGGUCGGAGCUCGUUCGUAAUGCAUUAGCAUCCUAACCUUCGAGAUCAGAUUGACUCGGCGUAAUAGACUAUUCGCUGAGGACAUGGCAUCCCUUUACUGGGGUGUGAUGGCUGGCCUGGGAAAAAGUGGAAGCUGCUAGACCCCCGACGAUAUAAGUCACUAUUCUAAGCUUAGACCUCAGAUCAGGCAGGAUUACCCGCUGAACUUAAGCAUAUCAAUAA